rnacentral:lncRNA from 1 species
GGGUUUAUAUGAGAUGGAAUUGGCUCUUUGCAGAUGAGUUCCUUUCAGUCUCUGGAGGUUGCUCUGAACUCUGUUAGCUCUUCUCUCACUAUCUUUUUCCCCAGGGUUUUUUGGGAGAUGGAAGUCUAGAAUUUAUAACCUGAUUUUUGUGACUUUGUGGGCUCAAAAGAGAGAGGUCCAAGUCCAAGAUUUUUCUAUUAUAUUUUAUUUACUUAUUUAUUUAUUUAUUUAUUUAUUUAUUUUUCGUUUUUUUUUCGAAACGUGUGGGCUUCGCCUAGCGAGCAUGACAGUUCAUGAACAAACUUUUGC